CCUACGGGAGGCAGCAGUGAGGAAUAUUGGUCAAUGGGCGCUAGCCUGAACCAGCCAAGUAGCGUGAAGGAUGACUGCCCUAUGGGUUGUAAACUUCUUUUAUAUGGGAAUAAAGUGCAGUAUGUAUACUGCUUUGCAUGUACCUUAUGAAUAAGGAUCGGCUAACUCCGUGCCAGCAGCCGCGGUAAUACGGAGGAUCCGAGCGUUAUCCGGAUUUAUUGGGUUUAAAGGGAGCGUAGGCGGGUUGUUAAGUCAGUUGUGAAAGUUUGCGGCUCAACCGUAAAAUUGCAGUUGAUACUGGCAGCCUUGAGUACAGUAGAGGUAUGCGGAAUGCGUGGUGUAGCGGUGAAAUGCUUAGAUAUCACGAAGAACUCCGAUUGCGAAGGCAGCCUGCUGGAUUGUAACUGACGCUGAGGCUCGAAAGUGUGGGUAUCAAACAGGAUUAGAUACCCUUGUAGUC
rnacentral:rRNA from 1 species